rnacentral:tRNA from 1 species
GGAUCCGUGGCAAUGGUAGCGUCUGACUCCAGAUCAGAAGGUUGCGUGUUCGAUUCACGUCGGGUUCA